rnacentral:lncRNA from 1 species
AAAUAUAUUAGUAUAUAAUUUUUUUAGUCAAAUAUAACUGCAUGACUCCUCCAAUAAAAAAAAUAGCUACAUAAUUCCUUAAUCUAACCUUAUAAUUUUUUUAAAAUUAUACUUUUUUGCAUAUAAUAAUAUACACAUCUGCUAGGUUAAUGUAAUAGAAAUAAAAAUAAAGAAAAAGUAUAAUUGUUCUACAAGAGGAGCUUAUCUGAAGCCGUUGAAAUCCAAAAAUUCAAGUAUCUAGAAAGAUAGAAAGUGUUUUUAAAGCAAGGUUUGUGUUUGAGAUAAUGACUUAAAUGUGUCAAUUUAUUUUUAUUUUUAUUUUCUUUUUGUCAUACAUACAUUUUUUUUUUUAUAAAGGAAUGUGUGGAUGUUGUCAUGGGCUUUGAAGUUGAGAAU